ensembl:lncRNA GAS5 growth arrest specific 5
CUUUUCGAGGUAGGAGUCGACUCCUGUGAGGUAUGGUGCUGGGUGCAGAUGCAGUGUGGCUCUGGAUAGCACCUUAUGGACAGUUGUGUCCCCAAGGAAGGAUGAGAAUAGCUACUGAAGUAAGUUGAAAAUUCCCUCUCAAAAAGGUUUAAAGCCAUUGGAUGUGCCACAAUGAUGACAGUUUAUUUGCUACUCUUGAGUGCUAGAAUGAUGAGGAUCUUAACCACCAUUAUCUUAACUGAGGCACCCAAAAUGGUGAGUUGGGGAACAUAGAGAGUACACCUAAGUUCACAUGAAGUUGUUUCUUCCCAGGUCCUAAAGAGCAAGCCUAACUCAAGCCAUUGGCACACAGGCAUUAGACAGAAAGCUGGAAGUUGAAAUGGUGGAGUCCAACUUGCCUGGACCAGCUUAAUGGUUCUGCUCCUGGUAACGUUUUUAUCCAUGGAUGACUUGCUUGGGUAAGGACAUGAAGACAGUUCCUGUCAUACCUUUUAAAGGUAUGGAGAGUCGGCUUGACUACACUGUGUGGAGCAAGUUUUAAAGAAGCAAAGGACUCAGAAUUCAUGAUUGAAGAAAUGCAGGCAGACCUGUUAUCCUAAACUAGGGUUUUUAAUGACCACAACAAGCAAGCAUGCAGCUUACUGCUUGAAAGGUGAGGAUUGGAAAUGUUGGGACUAUUAUAAUUGCAGAAUACAUGAUGAUCUCAAUCCAACUUGAACUCUCUCACUGAUUACUUGAUGACAAUAAAAUAUCUGAUAUUCUGCA